UACGUAGGGUGCGAGCGUUAAUCGGAAUUACUGGGCGUAAAGGGCGCGUAGGCGGCUGUACAAGUCAAAGGUGAAAUCCCUCGGCUCAACUGAGGAACUGCCUUUGAAACUGUACGGCUUGAGGCCGGGAGGGGGUAGCGGAAUUCCCAGUGUAGCGGUGAAAUGCGUAGAUACUGGGAGGAACACCAGUGGCGAAGGCGGCUACCUGGACCGGUUCUGACGCUGAGGCGCGAAAGCGUGGGUAGCAAACAGG
rnacentral:rRNA from 1 species